rnacentral:rRNA from 1 species
AACGAACGCUGGCGGCAGGCCUAACACAUGCAAGUCGAGCGAGCACUUCGGUCCUAGCGGCGGACGGGUGAGUAACGCGUGGGAACGUGCCCUUUGCUUCGGAAUAACCCUGGGAAACUGGUGCUAAUACCGGAUGAGCCCUUUGGGGGAAAGAUUUAUCGGCGAAGGAUCGGCCCGCGUUGGAUUAGCUAGUUGGUGGGGUAAUGGCCUAACAAGCGCGAGAUACAUAGCUGGGUUGAGAGGAAGGUCAGCCACACUGGGACUGGGACACGGCCCAGACUCCUAAGGGAGGGAGGAGGGGGGAAUCCUAGAAAAUGGGGGAAAAGCUGAACGAGCCAUGGCGCGUGAGCGAUGAAGGCCUUAGGGUUGGAAAGAUAUUUCAGCUGGGAAGAUAAUGAAGGUAACAGCAGAAGAAGCCCCGGCUAACUCCGUG